rnacentral:rRNA from 1 species
UACGGAGGGUGCAAGCGUUAUCCGGAUUUACUGGGUUUAAAGGGUGCGUAGGUGGGCAGGUAAGUCAGCGGUGAAAUCUCCAAGCUUAACUUGGAAACUGCCAUUGAUACUAUAGGUCUUGAAUCAUCUGGAGGUGAGCGGAAUAUGUCAUGUAGCGGUGAAAUGCUUAGAUAUGACAUAGAACACCGAUUGCGAAGGCAGCUCACUACGGAUGUAUUGACACUGAGGCACGAAAGCGUGGGGAUCAAACAGG